UUCUACUACAAAUGUUAAAGCAAAUGUUAUUCAAAAAGUUUCAAGCUAUUGAUAUUUCACCUUUAUAAAAAGAUACCUUCUAAUAAACUGUUCCAUUAUAAGAGUAGCAUCAGCAGUAAAAAGAAAGAAACAUUUAAAUUGUUACUGCAACCAAUAAAAUCAGUUAAAUCAAUUUGUUGUAUAAGUAAGGUAACAAUGUUUGCUACUUGUAGAUCUGUUCAUUUAAAACUGAUAGAUCUAAAGUAGGCAAGAUUCUAAAAACCAGUCAGGAACAUCUUCCAAGGUACGGAAGAUCAGACCGUUAUGGGACACGGCAAUUUCAGAUAUAUGUGUGCCUGCAUCUGCAGGGCAGCUGUUGAGUGGACUUUGCAAUGAACCAGGCAAGCAGAAAUUCUGUUGUAGUAUGGGAAUGGAUUAAGGCAGUACUAUUAAAUGCACACGGUACAGCUACAUAAAACUACUACCUUCUUCUGUGAGGAUGCUGCACUUUGAGAUCAUAAUGUAAUUGUGUUAGUUACAAAGAAGAACAAAUAAAAGACUAAUGAUAUUAACUAUCUGGUAAAAUAAAUAACAUUUCUGUGAUGGCAAUUAAAUAUUAUAAUCACACUUUUUCCACUGUUAUUUGAAAAAAAUUAUUGAGCUACAGCUAUAAUUAAAAUUUCACCUUUUUUUUUUUUUUAAUGAAAAUAGUGCUAAUAGGUACUGUGUUCAACUGAACUGUUUCUGUACUCAUUCAAACUACCAUAUAAUGGUAAGACUAACAUACAAAAUAAUUCAAAAAAUAGUUUUAGGUCUGGAACCAUUCUGUGUGAUUUAGGAGUCAACAGAAUCUGCAUAUUUAAAAUAACCUCCAAAAAAUCAUGUGCAACAACUUGCUAGUACGUGUAUAACACUGAGAGAUGACUUUUCAUACAAUUCAUGAGCAUGGCACUCUUCUGCUCUCCCUUACAAAGAAGGUGUCCAAUCCAAGCAUGCCAGCAACCUACUGAACCUCUGGACUUUGGGGAUCAGCUAUCUUCUCUGGAUAUAUUGCAAAUCACUGUCAGAAAUGGGCAUAGGGUGGAUUGGCUGUUUCCCAGAACAGGCAUCAUAUGUACAUCUUAAUACAUCUUCUGUCUUGCUGAAACAAUAUUACAUGUCUGGGUACCCAUUUUAUAUCAUCAACUCAUCAUAAGGCAGAGAAGAGAGCUUAAAUCCUCGUUUCCCCUAGUAAAUCCCUGCAUGGAGUGAAUGUACCCACCAAGGUCAAUUCUUCCUACAAAUAGGUUGAGUUUUAUGUAGAGAAAAGUUGAUGAAUUCAUUCCUAAUACAUCACCUCCAUGUCUCAGGUGACAAGUCCAAGCCAACAAGUGUGGCUAAUGGGCAUCAUGGCAGUAACAUUCAUGGAUUGUGAGUACUCUGCUUGAGUACAGUGCAUUUUUUUUAUGCUGAGUGAUCUUGAGCAAACCAUUUUUCCAGCUAUGAUAUAAAGAAAAUGACUCAGUCUUCAAUUAAAAAUAUGUUACAAUCUACGCCUGAAAAGCUCCAUAUGAGAAACAGCUAUUGUUAUUAAAAGUGAUGCAAGGAUCUGUAUGAAGUCCCCCUCAAACAAUGUAAGAUCUAUUGUUCUUUAUCUUCACUUUUUCUUUUGUCUUCACUUUUUUGCCUCCCACAAAUCCAUUCUCAUACUCAACCUUUGUGAGACCAUCAAAGCAGAUGCAAUAAGCAGCCUGGAAUAAUUACUUCAGUUUAAGGCAAGUAAAGAGAUAGAGAACAAGUCAAUAAACAAGCUGAUGAAGAUUCCCCUUCACAAUCCAAAACAACUCUAUAAACUUACAUAUAAUCCUCAUACCGUGUUUCUUCUGCAGUCCCUCCUCUUUCUCUCCUUGUUGUUUUUCUGUUGUUACUUGACAUGCUGUAUCUGCUUCAGUCCAAAUGCCCUUAAAGGCAAGGGCUGUAUCUUUUUCCUAUCUUUAUUGUGUCUCCAUAUAAAAGUAGGAAUGAACAUUACUUUUGAAAUAUUUUCAAGAGAACGCUUUGAUGAUUUACUGUUCUGCGUCUUUGUAAACACUUUGUUAUCUCCCCUGCAGGGAAUCAACUGCCUCUUUUGGAUCUUUUGUCACUGAUAUUUUCUGAGUGUUCCUGAUUUGUCUAUCACAGAGCUGAAAUGGGUGCCUUUAUAAUAAUUUGCUUCAUACUGAUUUAUUUCUUGCAGAGUCAUAUCACCCCACGGCCUAUUCUCACUACCCUUUGCGCAGUUACUCACACUGCUUGGUGCACAGAUUUUUUUCACUGCAAGACUGCACUGAUUUCUGAGGAAACCUAAAGGCUAUCUUUGCAACAGCAUAAGGAAAAGCAAGGGUCUGGCAGGGUGUGGCACUGUGUCCUUGGUCCUUGUUGGCAUUCAUGAGACACCUUUGGACUUCCUGAUCCGCUAUCUUUAUCAGCACACACCAGACAUUUACUCCUUGAGUUUCUCUCAAGGAGUUGUUUCUGUUGGAAUGGCAUUUACAGGCUAUGCAUUAUGUGAAGACAUACUUUUUUUGUAAAGCCUGCAGUGUGAUAGCCUCGUUUGGUGCCUCCGUGUUCUUGUCUUAUGAGAUUCUUCAUGUUUUUGUUGACUGCGAGGAUUUGGAAGAAGUAAAGGCAUGUGAAGAGAUUUCAACCUCCCCUGCUGUUAAGACCAACUCGUGCAACAUGUCCUACUGCAUCACAAAAUUGAGCUACAGAUGUUCUGAGAGACCCAUCCAUUGAAUUAAACAUCUGCUGGGAGCAAUGAGGCUCAUUCCUGAUCAAGACUUUGAUGUGCUCCUGUCUAUCCAUCUACUUCCACAUACUAAAUAAAACAAAGAAGAUACUGGAAUGAGAGAGCACGUAAGGCCAAAGGGUAGAGUCCAAGCCCACCACAUUUUAUAGAGACGUUGCGGAGCCUGCAUAGGAGUCGAAGACAGGAGGGAGAAGUUGCUGCAAGCUAUUUUCAUUACAAGAUUGCACACUAAAAAAGAAAAUGCCACCCUAGAGCUUGGUGUUAACUUAGUUAUCUUACAGACAACUCAAUUUGAAGAAGAAUUACAGUUUAGAAAGCAAAGAGAAGAAUCUGUCACCUAGACUAAUAGCAGUCAGAGUUUCUUCAAGGAAGAAAAUGUUAGAGGCUAAAACUACUGCCAGAUUCCAUGGCAAAGCCAAAUGCAGUGGGGAGGUUCUCCUGUGGUUCAUCAAUGAACUCUGGGUCAGGUAUUCCGUUCCCCCUUUGUGUGCUAGUGGAAUGAAAAAUGAGUCACCCCUGCAGAAAGCAGCUUGGCCCUCAUGCCAGGUGGUCUGAUGACAGCACAUUGCUGUGUAGGGCAUGUUAUACCUCUACGCUUUUCUUAUCAAAAUGUCAAUACUUUCUCAUUGCCUUUGAGUGUUCCUAGGAAAGUAUAUACAGGCUGCAGGAAAUGAAAGUCAUGAGAUUGGAAGGGCUGAGAUAGGUGCUCCCAGGAAAAGGCCUCAGGUGGAGACAGGAACUUUAGCAAGAGGACAAAUGAGCUGUUAGUUACAUACUUUUCAAAGCCUGCAGUUGCAAUUUUGAAAGGCAGAAGUAGUAGUUCAGUGCCUGGUUCCCAGAGAGUUUUAUGAAAUCUGUUGAAAUCAGAACAAACUAACAAGCCCACUGUCAACAUGAAAAAUGCAGCAGGUUUCCCUUCUUCUCCUCUGUACUUUGGCUUCCUGACUGGGCUUCAUUUUGUGAGGUCUGUUGUCACUGCUUAGGGAAAAACUGCAAAUUACCUACACACAUUUACUUUUUUGUGGGUCAAUAGCACUGCAGUGUAAUGCUGCCCAUUCUCAGUCUGUGACAACUUUGCCCCCAUCCUCCCGCUUCAGCUUAGCUUUUUUCCCAUUUUGCAUAGGUCACAUUGGGCUUUUGAAAGCAGGAGAAGGAAGCACUAAAGCUCAGUCUUUGGGCUUUUCCUCUGUCUAACUUGCCCUGUCACCACUGUGGCUCUGAGCUGCCCCAGGCAUGGUCUCCAUGGCCCUACUGCUGCAGUGAGUAUAAGGCAGUGCUGGCUGUACAGCACCAUUCCCCCAACUCCUGUUGCAUAUUGCUGUAACAUUAGUAAUUAUAAAAAUAAAAUAAAAAAUCCAGUGCUUCAUUUUAAAAUGUCAUUGCUUGAUUUAAUAUCACUGGGAGCUGACCUCCCACCAUGGGUCUGUAGAUGAAGCUUCCCAACAUGCUCCCGCAGGGGCUGUGCUUUGGCACAGCUGGGCUGUGCAGAAAGGGAACGCAACCUCAGGCUCUGCUGCCUUCUCCAAGGAAACUGUGAGCUGCUUUUCUGAAAGAAAAGUGGAGAUUGCAUUGUACUUCAUUGCCCGAAAAUGCAGCCUGAAUUUCAGGCAAGAGUGCAUUGCACCAGAUAAGUUGAUUGUUUACAUAAAAUGCACUUUUUAAAGUAACUACCAAAAAAAAAAAAGUAAGGUGUGCAACAGCAACAGACAGCACUAGCAGCAAUACAAAGCUGGUUACUAAUGGGCUGGGAUUUAGGCAUUGUUUCAAGGUAAAUUUGUAUUCAUAUAGAUGCACCAGGAAAGAUUUUAUAUGAGAAAGUCAAUGAAAAGAAAAACUCAAACUGAUCACAGAUGCUUACACGCUAUUCUGCCAUAUCUGAAUUUUAUGUGUAUGUUUGGUGGCUGAUCAUUUGGAUAGAGACAAAUUUGUUUUAUUUCUUUCCCUGCAGCUUGUUCAUUAAAAUUCUGUUUUACUCCAGCAGCCAGCAUUGUGCUGCAUCCUGACAUCGGCGCAGAGGGAAACUGCCACAACAGACACAUGCCAGCCGUCCCUACCAAUCCAGCAAACUAUUGCUUCCCUGCAUGGAAAUAUAGUAUUUAUCCUCUUCCUGGGGAAAUAACAGAUUCUGCAGCAAGACAAUGGAACGCAGCUUGUUCAUACAUAGUGAAAGUACACAUGUGGUAAACACAACAGCCUGAUUUCCCUCUGCAUCUCCUCGGUUUUGCACAGAUGCGUACCAAAAUGAUUUCUACCGAUCUGUUUUUUCUGGCAGCUGUAACAUUGAGCUCUCAUUCUGCCAACCUCCCACGUAGUUCCUGAGUCCCAGAAAGGUGGCUGGCCCCAUGCUUGUUCCCACAGGGCCUGAGCAACGCGUGUCUUCCCAGAGAACCACAUGCUGGCACCCUGUGAAUUCCAGGGUGCGUAUCGCUGCCUUAUCUCUUGGAUUAGUGCAGAAAUUCCUCCGCAGCAUUGAAAUGCUGGCUUUAUGCCAAAAUUCCUAGAUGCCUAAAAUUAAGCUUUGAAGCCCAAGCUAAGCAAGGGCUUACGUACCGAAAGUGGACUUUAGAUGGAAUUCUGGCACCUGAGUGCCAAACAAUCACAGAACCAUUGAAAAAUGUAAUUGAUCAACUAUUUUCCAUCCCUAGAGAUACAGAACACCUGGGGAUGCAUUACUUUCUAACUAGAAGUUCUCCAGCUGCCUGAAGCUGUUUGAACAUGCUGUCCAGAACUGGCCUAGAGCUGGCUUAAGUGGAUAUGCCAGAAUUUAACUGGGGUCUCCGCAACCCUCACCUUGCAACUAAACACUUGUAAAACAGUAAAUUUUCAGCAGUGUCUAUGUAUUGCAGCACAGAUUUGCUGGUGUUCAGCACCUCUGCAGUGGAAACCAUAAACUGAUAUCUCAUUCUGAUUCUUUUCUCCUUAUCUAAACUUAAUUUCAUUUGCACUGUUGAUGUAUCAGUGCAAUAGCUUAAGCAGUGAAAGUAUCUGUUUUUAGAAAAUGCUCAGCAUCUAUUGAAUUCCAGCAUCCUUCAGGCCUUAAUGUUAGGCUACAUUUGAGAUGCAAAGGGGAAUAUUCACAGAAACUCUCUCUGCAGCAAGUUAUGCCUUGUUGGCUUUCACAUUGACUCAGUGUUUGCUCAUUCAGCAUUAGAGAGCCCAUUAUUUGGGCCCAGACUCUGAUAGGUAAGGAAUCAGAACAGGAGGAGAUUUUGCGUCAGUGUGUGGGCUGUGAACGCAACGAGGUGAUUAAAUAGACACUGGCAGCAGAAGAUAAAGUUAGCAAUUAUGAGGCCAUUUCCAGGAACAGCCUGCUCAGAAUAAAAUUAUUUUGCUCAAAAUCAGCAGGUAAAAGUAAAAAAAGGCUUUCAAAGAGGUCUGCUGCUGCCACAAGAUUGGGUUUUCUUUCCCUUUCCUUUAGAGUUGCCAGCUAAAAGGUUGCACAGAUUCCCUUUGCACAUAUCUCAGUGAUUAUACUUAAUAUUGUUGCCCCUCUUUUCAGUGCUAGUAGAGCUCAUGCAGAAGUUGGGCUGGAGAGUGAUACUGCCUGCUCACAAUGCCAAGGCAGCAGGAAUAGGGAACUAUAAAGAUUCUUACACCUUCUCUUCCUGAUGCUGUGAGCAUAGCACAAAUGGGCAACCGCCUGCAAGUGGAUUAAUACUGCCCUCCAUCAUAUUUAGGACAAGGUGACUGAAGCCUCACCAGAUAAUCUGCUUGGGGCCAGCUAUAAGGGGAAAUGUGGAGGAAAAGGGUAAAGAUCACAGCUUUCUUCCGUAUGGGAUGCCAGAUUCUUAAAAGAUGACAACUAUUUUCAGUCAUUCUUGACAUGAUUGGCUUAACAGUACUUUUCUCAUAAGUGAAGAUCAAAUUCUUGCCAUGCACAUAAGCCUUCCACUCCUCUGCACUUUGCUUUGUUUAGGAAAUAUGCAUACAUCACUUUCAUAUUGCACAAGCUGGCUAAUAUUGAUCAACGUGAGCUAUUGAAUAUGCAUUUAUACCUGCUGAGAGCACUUCAGGUGCAGGGAAUAUUAUGUUAUGAGCCAUAAAUGCAUGAAUUUCCAUUGUAAGAAGACUGAUGUGACAGCUCACCCUCCUGUAAAGAUUGUUACCUGUACAAGAACCUUGAUCUCCUUACACAUUUCCACUGAGAUUGAAACAGUAGAUAUUUUGGAAGCUUUCUGAAUCACCUGACUUUAUAAGAUUUUCUUACCAAAACAAAAUACUUGAAGGAUAUCUCUGUUUUGUUAAGAUUUUCACAUUUUUUCUGCUGUCUCAUAAAAGUAGAUACAUGACAAAAUAGUCCUUAAAUCCUUCUCUCUGCUAUCAAGUCCAUCCCUCAGAAUAGAUUCUUUCAGCAGGGAGACUACCAAAUAACAUGCAAAUCCACUGAAGUGGUCUCAACUAAAUAUAACAGUAUGGUGUGAGUGGGAAAAAAUAUACAUAUGUUCUCUUGCGCCUUUUGUGUAAUCAGGGCCACAGGAUUUUGCCAGUGCCUCCUCCAUCCCUCCUACCCAGCUAUACUUCAGGGUCCAACCUCAGUACUGUUCUGUCACUGUACAUAAUACAAGUAACACAAUUUCUAUAGAAGUCUCCACAUAGAAAGAUGCACCUAAACUCAGAGCCCCAUUGCUGCAGUUAAAGCUUGAGACAUAAAACCUGGACAGUAAACCUUCACAGUGAAGGCACCGACAAACAAGGCUGCAGUUAUGUGGAAUAUAAGAUGACCAAGGCAUUUAGGUUCUACUCAUUGUUAAAAAGACACUACAAAUAAAAUAUAUCCUGCGCACAAGUAUUUUGCUCCUGUGUUUGUUUGGAUGGUCUUUUUUUAAGGAAAAAAACAAAAAUGUUUUAAAAUCCAUGCUGUGGGAGAUGGGAGACUGUAGAGUCAAUGACACCAAUUCAUGA